UUUUCUUUUUGUUUUGAUGCUUCCUUGAUAUUUUGGCUUAAGCAAGGAUAUGCCUAUGACUUGUUAGAGGUUUAAGCUCCUGUAAAUAUUUUGUUUGGAUUUUAUAUCCUAUUUUUCUAUUUUCUUUGGUUUUUUUUAUCAUGAGCAUCCCUUUUGCCUAGUGUAAUUUAACCCAACUUCAUUUUGAAGCUUGUGGACAUAAUUUAAGGCUUAGUUUUG
rnacentral:lncRNA from 1 species